rnacentral:lncRNA from 1 species
UUUAAUUUUAAUUAAAAAUCAUCCAUGAAUAAAAACUCAUCUAUGAAUAAUUUUUCGUCCUUGAAUGAGAAUUCAUCCACUUUAGUCAAAAUUCAUCCAAUAUUUUCAUCCAAGUUGAUUUGAUGUUCAUUUUUGAUUAAAUUUCAUCCAACAGUUAAUAUUUAUCAUCCGACUCCUAUUGCAAUCAACCCUAAUUGAGUGCUUCACUCUUUAACCUAAAAUUUUUCUCUCGAACUUAAUUCACCUUACAAUAUGCUACUGACCAGGGACGUUGAAGAAGUGUCCCUCUUCAUAGGAUGCUCCUUCCGUUCGACCACGAUCAAUGCUCCAGAUGAGGGCUCUCCCUUGGCUUGAACUUGCACAACACCCAAUUCCACCACUGAAUGGGUCAGGUUCUAAUUGAACUAGGAAGAGGUUGGCCAAUAAUCACCGAUCGCACAUCGUAUUGAGAGUUUGUUGUUACAAAAAAUCAGUAUCUUGCUGCCGCAAGCUCGUGCAAGACAGUUUUCAAUCUUCUUGAUCAGGAUGGGUGAGAGAACUUCCUUGGGCAAGCAUCCUCGUUCCGAUUCUAACUCGCCUACACAUUCGCUUUGAUUGUAAAUUUACGAGAGAAGGGAUUUUUGAACAAGUGCAACCCUUUGAUAAUGGUUCAAUAGAUGCUUCCACUUGUGUGGCAAGGAUUCAAGCCCUCCACGGAACGAAGGCACCGCCGCAAGUUGUAACAGUCAAAACCCGGCAUAGCAAAACAAGGAAAAUCGAAGCCGAGACUCCGUUGACCUGCUCCAGAACCGCCACCUGAAGGAGAAUCAGAUCCCGUUGAAGAAUGUGGACGAUGCGCAGCCUUCUGCCAUCGGAACCAACUAACAAAGGCACUGCCGCACGUCGCAGUACUGUCCAAAAUCACGCAGCAACGGCGCCUCCGCUUGAAUUUGGAGCUCGAAAGCCAGCUGCGCCACCUUGAACUUCCGCUAUACACCGAAUCAAUACCUCCGAGCUCCUUUCGCAACUUGUACCAGCAAGGGAGAAGAAUCGCUUCUCUUGGCAAUGCAAGCUCCACC